UCAAGUUAGAAAUGGAAAAAUGUUGACCUGAAACAAUAAAACAUUUCCUUUUUAGUUUUUAUAAACGUUUGGAUUAAAAAUUUAAAACAAAUUACCUAAUUAGAAUACAACAUAAUAUUAUACUCCUGUUCUGAUUAUAGCAGCAAAUCUACGGUCCGGCGUUAUAUUCCUACGACUUCUUUACUGCAGACAUGCUGACGAAAUAGUUCGACCGGAUUACGAUUUUCAAGCGCAAGAAGAUGGCAACCUUAUAUUAUUUAAGCGGCAACAAUACAUGGACACAGAAUGCUGUCCGUGUAUCAAUGGACCUGUAUUCCCCUCAGAGAGUGUUCACGCAAAAAGAGCCUUGUCCUUGAGUGAAAAUGAGAAACUGUAUCACAAGCAAAACUACCACUAUAACCCGAGGUUCAAUAAAAAUGUGGAUAAAACGUUGCUAAAUAUCCUCGCACAAAUAGAACAAUAAAUGAAAUGGCCCAGAAAAUCGAAGUUAGCGAAAGUUAACGAAACGGACAAAGGAACUCAAAAUGGAUGUCGC